UAGCAGCACAUCAUUACUGGUAUUCCUUCUCUCUGCAUUGCUGGUAUGAUAUGUGCUGCUCCU
rnacentral:pre_miRNA from 1 species